AGUCGAACAGGCUAAUUCCGGCCCUCUUAUAAAAAAAAGAAAGAAAAGCCUCGUUUCCUCUAGAUCAGAGAGAUGGCUUCUGGAUUCAUCUUUCCCUGCAAUCCAACUUCUCCUCCUGGGGCCCUCAUACUGGAGACUGGGACCAUCAUCCAGGCUUUUGCACUGGGCCAGGACUUUGGGAGUCAUCCUGGAUCCAUCUGCCCCUGUCAACCUUUCUCUGUCAACAGAUAUUUAUUGGGCAUCUUAAACAGCCAGGCCCUGUUCAUGGUGCUGAAGAACAGCAUGUAUAAAACAACCCUGCCCUCACAGGGCGAUCACCAGUGACCCGUGGUAUGGAUUCUCCUUUUACCUCUGUCUCCUCCUUCCCACUGUCACCAUUCUUGGUCCUCCUCUGUCACCUGGAAUACUCCACUUGGUAACCAGCAUGAUCUUAUAACCCUAGUUUUACCCUUGUCAGCACUUUGCCAAAAACCUCAAAGAAAG
rnacentral:lncRNA from 1 species